CUACAGAGGGUGCAAGCGUUAAACGGAAUUACUGGGCGUAAAGCGCGCGUAGGCGGCUUGAUUAGUCGGAUGUGAAAGCCCCGGGCUCAACCUGGGAAUUGCAUUCGAUACUGUCAGGCUAGAGUAUGGUAGAGGGUAGUAGAAUUCCUGGUGUAGCGGUGAAAUGCGUAGAUAUCAGGAGGAAUACCAGUGGCGAAGGCGGCUACCUGGACCAAUACUGACGCUGAGGUGCGAAAGCGUGGGGAGCAAACAGGAUUAGAAACCCUUGUAGUCC
rnacentral:rRNA from 1 species